UACGUAGGGUGCGAGCGUUAAUCGGAAUUACUGGGCGUAAAGCGUGCGCAGGCGGCGCGUUAAGACAGGUGUGAAAGCCCCGAGCUUAACUUGGGAAUUGCGCUUGUGACUGGCGUGCUGGAGUGUGGCAGAGGGAGGUGGAAUUCCACGUGUAGCAGUGAAAUGCGUAGAGAUGUGGAGGAACACCGGUGGCGAAGGCGGGUCUCUGGGCCGAUGAUUGACGCUGAGGAGCGAAAGCGUGGGGAGCAAACAGG
rnacentral:rRNA from 1 species